rnacentral:rRNA from 1 species
UGGGGAAUAUUGCACAAUGGGGGAAACCCUGAUGCAGCGACGCCGCGUGAGCGAUGAAGGCUUUCGAGUCGUAAAGCUCUGUCCUAUGGGAAGAUAAUGACGGUACCCUGUGAGGAAGCCCCGGCUAACUACGUGCCAGCAGCCGCGGUAAUACGUAGGGGGCUAGCGUUAUCCGGAUUUACUGGGCGUAAAGGGUGCGUAGGUGGUCCUUCAAGUCGGUGGUUAAAGGCUACGGCUCAACCGUAGUAAGCCGCCGAAACUGGAGGACUUGAGUGCAGGAGAGGAAAGUGGAAUUCCCAGUGUAGCGGUGAAAUGCGUAGAUAUUGGGAGGAACACCAGUAGCGAAGGCGGCUUUCUGGACUGCAACUGACACUGAGGCACGAAAGCGUGGGUAGCAAACAGG